GAUGAACGCUGGCGGCGUGCUUAACACAUGCAAGUCGAACGGGGAUGCUUAUGGAAGGAGUGCUUGCACUUUGGAAAUGAGUAUCUUAGUGGCGGACGGGUGAGUAACGCGUGGGUAACCUGCCCCAUACCGGGGGAUACCACCUGGAAACAGGUGCUAAUACCGCAUAAGCGCACGGGAGCGCAUGCUCCUGUGUGAAAAACUCCGGUGGUAUGGGAUGGACCCGCGUCUGAUUAGCCAGUUGGCAGGGUAACGGCCUACCAAAGCGACGAUCAGUAGCCGGCCUGAGAGGGUGGACGGCCACAUUGGGACUGAGACACGGCCCAA
rnacentral:rRNA from 1 species